GACCGAUAGCGCACAAGUAGAGUGAUCGAAAGAUGAAAAGCACUUUGAAAAGAGGGUUAAACAGCACGUGAAAUUGUUAAAAGGGAAGCGCUUGUGACCAGACUUGCGUCCGGUGAAUCACCCAGCUCUCGCGGCUGGGGCACUUCGCCGGCUCAGGCCAGCAUCAGCUCGCUGUCGGGGACAAAAGCUUCAGGAACGUAGCUCUCUUCGGGGAGUGUUAUAGCCUGUUGCACAAUACCCUUCGGCGGGCUGAGGUACGCGCUCCGCAAGGAUGCUGGCAUAAUGGUCAUCAGCGACCCGUCUUGAAACACGGACCAAGGAGUCA
rnacentral:rRNA from 1 species